AAAAAGUUCAGUGCCUUCAGGGAUCAGACUCUUGGGUAGGAUUGAGAGUAUUUAAUGAAUACUUCCAAAGGAUUCAUUGUAUACUUCCCAUACUAAGCACUGAGAGGAACACCUCAGUGGCAAGUAGGCAAUAAGGAAACCUAGGGAUUUCUAGCCAGAGGGAAAUCUGGAACCCAGAAUGAAGGCAGUUGGCAAGGAAGUCGAUAAGGGAGGGAAAGCCUUAUUGUUCAAGUGAGGGAGAGCAAAGCGGAAUUCCUUCUCACCUGCCAGGAGAUGCUUCAGAUGGUCCCAGGGCCCGAUUCACACCGGCUUUCCUCUUUGCCACAACAGCUGGAAGGUCCAAGCCCGGGGGGUGCUUCUGGAGGCUCAGAAGGAAAUGGGAAGAAAUGCAAAGUCAGUUUCUCUAAAACGACACAUUCCUCCACCUCUGGCCCCCCAGAUCGACCAACUGUUGAAGACGCACGAGACGACCCCUUCAGAAGCGACGGCCAGACACAGAAGCGUCCCUUCGUGGGAGACCGAGGAUGGACAGAGUGACUCCGGAGACGGGACUGUCCCAACAGCACAGGAAGGGGGUGUGAGGCCAAGGAGUAUUGGACAUCUGCUGAAGACACAAAGUCAUAGUGAGUUAAAGUCUCCCUUUGGUCAUCCCCCCUCAACUGCCCAGCAUUGCACUUGGAAGAAAAUGUACAACUUGGGUGAAGGGUCAUUUUGAAAAAAAAAAAAAUUAAAGACAUCUGGGAAUUGU